rnacentral:rRNA from 1 species
CAGUAGCAAUACUGAGUGGCAAACGGGUGAGUAUAAUGUGGGAAUCUGCCUUUUGGUUCGGAAUAACACGAGGAAACUUGUGCUAAUACCGGAUAAGCCCUUACGGGGAAAGAUUUAUCGCCGAAAGAUCGGCCCGCGUCUGAUUAGCUAGUUGGUAAGGUAAAAGCUCACCAAGGCGAUAAUCAAUAGCUGAUUUGAGAGGAUGAUCAGCCACACUGGGACUGAGAUACGGCCCAGACUCC